AGUGAAUAGAUACCCCGGUAGUCCUGGCCAUAAACGUUGAUCACUAGGUGAUGGAGGUAUUCACUUUCAUUGCCAAAAAGCUAACGCGUUAAGUGAUCCGCCUGGGGAGUACGCUGGCAACAGUGAAACUCAAAGAAAUUGACGGGGGCCCGCACAAGCGGUGGAGCAUGUGGCUUAAUUCGAUGGUACGCGAGGAACCUUACCAGGGUUUGACAUGCUAGAAGUAGAAGUAGGAAACUAUGACGACCGGUAUCCAACCCGGAGCUAGUACAGGUGCUGCAUGGCUGUCGUCAGCUCGUGUCGUGAGAUGUUGGGUUUAAGUCCCGUAACGAGCGCAACCCCUAUCUUCAGUUGCCAUCAAGUCGUAAGAUGUUGGGCACUCUGAAGAGACUGCCGUUAAUAAGACGGAGGAAGGUGGGGAUGACGUCAAGUCCUCAUGGCCUUUAUAUCCUGGGCUGCACACGUGCUACAAUGGUCGGAACAGAGGUUGCAGAACCGCAAGGCGAAGCUAAUCCCACAAAUCCGGCCCCA
rnacentral:rRNA from 1 species